UACAGGGGGUGCAAACGUUGCUCGGAAUCAUUGGGCGUAAAGCGCACGUAGGCGGUUCGUUAUGUCGGAUGUGAAAGCCCUUGGCUUAACCGAGGAAGUGCAUCCGAAACUGGCGAGCUAGAGUACGAAAGAGGAACGCGGAAUUCCCGGUGUAGAGGUGAAAUUCGUAGAUAUCGGGAGGAACACCGGUGGCGAAGGCGGCGAUCUGGGUCGAUACUGACGCUGAGGUGCGAAAGCGUGGGGAGCAAACAGG
rnacentral:rRNA from 1 species